rnacentral:lncRNA from 10 species
CCGAGAGCGGGAUCCGCGCUCCCUCGGUCCUUCCUCCCUCCCCUCUUGCGGCCUCCCGCUGUCAUCUGGAGCCGCUCCUGCCGCCCCCUGGCGGCGACCGCGGGAAGGGCCGGCCCCCAUCCGCACCCCUGACCCCGGAGGUCAACAACGGGAUGGUCCCUGGGUCCCAGGGGAAGAGACAUCACCCAGUAGGAGGGAGUACGGUCUAGACAGAGGCCACGAGGGCGGGAGGGGGCGAGAGUGGAGAGUGGCCCAGCUGGCCAGGGUCGUCUAAGUGAGAGGAAAAGGGAGAGGGCGGUUGAGACCAGGCCCUGAAUUCCGCGUUCAUCUUAUCCUGAGGUCUGUGGGGACCUGUUGAAGGACUGGGGCAGGGGACGGACGCGGGCAUCCUUCCAUUUGGAACAGCCAUUCCGGCAGCAUCAGGAUGGGGCGGAGGCAAAGCGGGGAGUGGGCGAGGCAAGUGGUGCUGUAAACCUGUGCGAGAAGGGGGCGGUGACUCUAAGGGCAGGAAGGAGCCCUGGUCACACACACACUCCCACGCAAGGUAUUCAGUGCCGAGUGUGGCCUUGGUGCUAGGAUUCAAAGAGGAAAGGAAGAAAACUUUCCAUUCUAAAAGAAACUCCACGUGAGGCGAAGAAGAUGAAAUAUAGUCAGAAAACCAUACCAGUAGGUGGUAGGUAAAUGCAGAAGUAUUUAAGAGCUCAUACAGGAGUACCUGCCUCAGGACAGGGAAUCUGAGAUGCUCUGCAGAGCUGGAUCUUAAAGAACGGAUUAAGUUGAUAAAUGAUGCAUACGACAUCCUAUAGAAGACUGUCACCACCCCACCUCACUGAUCAGCCCUCUGCCUACAGCCACACCCACAGAACAUUCAGCCAUUUCUCCUGUGGUUCCCAGCCUGCAGCACAGCGUCUGCACGUGGUGAGGGCUCCCAAAUCUCUGAGGAAUGAAUGGCUCACUGCUGAGAGCAACCUUCUGGGAGUUCAGGGCAUGUGGAACUGGAAUAAGAGCAACGUGUGAACAGAUUACAGGAAGGCAAUGCAGGACAGCUGGACCCUUUGGGGGGAAACUUAUGGGGAACACAGUUUUCUUACUUAUAAGCACUGAGAUUGCCUGAGAGGGGAGAGAUGAUGCAGAGUGUCCCAAAUGUAUUUGACGUGGAAUCCUUUUACCAGCGAAACAUCUCUUGGGCCUAGAGUUCUGAAAAUUGCACUUUGAAAAACACUGCUCUCAGCUCUUACAAACCUCGUGUUUUCAUCCUAACUGUGCUUCAGAGAAUUGUGUCCCAGCAGGAAAGGAAACCCCCGUAUAAUUCCCUACGUUGCUAGCAUUUGGAAGUGGGAUGAAAAUGGACCUACAUUCAAACCCCUAAUUUCAAGCUCUGAAGGAGGUACCAGGAUCCAUCACGAUGCUUGUAAAAUUGUUCCUUUCAUUUUCCUGGUUGUAAACUUAUGCAGACUGUAAAGUCAAGGCAAGCCUGUGCCCAGCAAAUAAUAAGAAAAUAAGGGAGGCAUGGUAAACAAAACAAAACACUUUGAGAGUUGGUCAACUUGCUGUUAUUUUGAGCUGUUUCUAAAAAUCUCAGGGUAGAUUCCCUCCCCUGCUUGCCUCCUUAACCCAGUCCUUUUUCUUCCUCCUCCAGGAACUCUGGAAUGCUGACCUACAGUCUGAGUUCCUGUGCCCUUGCCUGGGGCUGACUCUCUACUUGACCUGUAACCCACAACUGGGCAAGAGAAAAUUCUGCAGCCACAGCUCUGAGGACAUGAGCAAAAUGGUUUCCAGACGGAAUGUCAAGGAUUCCCAUGAAGUGUCAGGGAGUCUUCAGGCCACACUUCAGGUUAUCUCCUUCUCUUUCCCUUUUCUGCUUCACACUUGCUCUCAUCCUCUUUCUCACCCCACAUCUGGUCAGAGGAGAUAGGAAGGUUCUUGUUACCUGGUACAAGACAACUUUUGGAAUCCCAGAUAUUCAGAUUAUUUCCCCUUUUCCUCUUUGCAAAUGAUAAUACUCACAGCCAAGAGGCAUCACCCGGAUCCGAGGCUGCUUCUCCUUAGGACAUGCAGACAGAAGGAGAAGGCGGGGCUGGCAGCCUCCAGUCCACAGCCUCCCUUUCUUCUUCCGGCGAUGAUUAACUAGGCCUAGACAAUGGAGAUCUACGGCAUACGCCCAGGGCCUCCUCUUCUCAAGCAUGGCUGAUCAGUCACUUUCCCGUCUAUCCUUCAUUUAUUGAAGCCAACUAUGAACGACUAAAGGAAGGAUGAGAAAAGUCACCCAAAGUCAAAGGGGACAGCGUGGGAGACUGUUCUAGACAGAAGGAAACACCUUUGCAAAGACCCUGAGGAAGGCAGGGGACUCUCCAGGAGCAGAAGGGCUGUGUGGCUUCAGAGUCCACAAAAGAGAGCAGAUACAGGACACUGGCUAGAGCAGGCCCUGGAGCCCGCUGCUGUCCUGGAGGCCUUGGGGAGGCCCAGUGUUCCCAGGGUGGAAGAAGUAGGGGACAGCUUGACGUAGUGGCUGUUGAUCAGCUGAUAUGGAAGUAUGUCAUUUUAUUAACAAUUGAGAAAGGAGUGCUGUGCAAUUCCAUUCAAUGCCAGUGAUGCUUAUGGCCGUUUUUAUGAGUUCUGUCAUUUUCAAAUGAGCAAGAGGAAGCCUCUAAGGGGGUUUAAGCAGGGACUGACGUAAUCAGAUCUGUGUUUUUCCAAAGGGAGAGGGAGAAAAAGAACAUUUCUUAUUUUUCAAAAAAGGUAAUGCAAAAGCAUCAUUCCACAAUUCUCUUGUAAUGAAAAAAAUAAAUGCAAACUUAAGCAAAUCCAUCAUUCUGAAAGAA